rnacentral:lncRNA from 1 species
UAACAGAGGUGACUCAGAGCACCCACACAUUUCCAGAGCGCUAAAGCUUUCACGGAUUCUCAAAAGAUGGGAAGUCAUUUCAGAAGGGGAGCAGGAAGUUUUAGAGCAUCUUACUGUGGGCUCUGCUUUGAGGAAAGCAGGACCUGAAAUGACUCCAGGGGUCCUGAGUAGUCAAGCCUUAAACAAGGAAAAGAGGGGGACACAGUAACAGGUGAGCAUUCAGACCUGGAGUCCAGAGGUGAGGACAGCAGACUCCAGGGGACUGCGGGGACUGCAGCUUCCAAGGAGCCCAGAGCCAGCACCGGCCCCCACCUGCCUGCACCUUUUUCCAGUUGAGUGACCGCUCUAGGCAAACAGGAAAUGCAUCCCCACACCCCAGGGCUGUGUGGUGACACCUGAGGCCAGGUGAGGAAGGCUGGAGACAGGAGAAGGGUGAGGAAGAGGCUAACAAGGUGCUGGGUCAGCUGUGACAGCCACAUCCACGGGGGCUUAGAUUCCUGCAGCAAGUGCCAUCUGGGAAUCAUUUAUCCUUCCAGUGGGCCAGGCGCGGGGUUCCCAUCUAUUCCUCAGAUACAUUACUAAGUGUAAACCUGAGUCUUGCCUAUGGUGAGGCAAACACAAUGGAAGAUCCGCAAUUAAAGGUCCCGGCCUCAGUUUCCCUAUUGGGAUCAUUGCAGGUGGCAUUCUGGACCCUCCCGCAGGGGCCACCCUCCCUCUCCGUUCAUCAGAUUGGCCUUGCCCCCCACCCACGGCUCCAGUCGUCUCUUUUCUGCCUCCCAUGGGGGAUCCAGGCUUCAGGAAGGGCUGACGUUCCUGUAAUGCCCCAGAGGACUGACGGCGGGGUGGAGGAGUCUAAAGUUUGCAAAUUAAAUGCUUCCUUUUUUAUUCCUCUCACCCUCUGAGCUGAACAUCAGUCUCUUCCAUGCAGGUGCCUGUGUCUUUCUCUGACAAAGGAGAACCAGGAGAAGCCGGGUUUAUGCAGCAUAGGGGCAGAGAGCUGGAGACAGGAAGGCUAGGCCACUCCGAGUUAUGCCCCCGACUCUCAGGGCCGUCCCACCAGGGCCAUUCCCACCUCAGGGCCUCUCUGUCCCCCUAGGAAAGAAGGACACCCCCUGCCAGUCAAGGGCAGCACUGGAGGGGUUUUCCAAGCUCCCUAAAUUCACAAGCCCUUGGCCGUCUCCUUCUCAAGAUCAGCCUGAUCAUGCCAUCAGUCCUCUGGGCUAAGCUAUUAACUUCUCCUUGUCAGCAUGUGACCCAGGCAUGGGACCCUUCCAGGGCCCUGUAGGCACGAAGAUUCUCAGCAAGUGGCGGCCAGCUGCAGUCUGCUCCAGGAGGGCUGCAGUGAUGGGACCCAGUGGUAGGAGCAGCGGCCACGUCAGGUGACUUAUUCCUCGGGGGCCAGCACCACCCAGCCCCUGUGUUGUCCCUGCCAACAGUACCCUCGCUUGACAAUGGCAGGUGCAUUUGAACGAAGUGACCAGUUUGCAGGGAACUGCACCACCCUUCUAAAGCGCAGCACCAGAUGUUUCCAGACCUUACUGGGGUCCC